AGUUAAGGAGAAUAAUCCCUUACAAUUGAGGCUGUAGUUAGAAAACCACUCUAGAAUACUUAGGAUAUUUCUUAUUUUCGAAAACUAGACCAUCAACUCGUGUUUUCCUUUUCUUUUCUAGGAAUGAUGUGAGGAAGACCUUCUAUUGAAGGAAUUGAGAGACUCGAGGCCCAAGAUCAUUUGACCAAGACCAAAUUUAUCGAGCUUUUUCG
rnacentral:lncRNA from 1 species